rnacentral:rRNA from 2 species
UUAGCGGCGGACGGGUGAGUAACACGUGGGCAACCUGCCCCUUAGACUGGGAUAACUCCGGGAAACCGGAGCUAAUACCGGAUAAUCCCUUUCUCCACCUGGAGAGAGGGUGAAAGAUGGCUUCGGCUAUCACUAGGGGAUGGGCCCGCGGCGCAUUAGCUAGUUGGUAAGGUAACGGCUUACCAAGGCAACGAUGCGUAGCCGACCUGAGAGGGUGAUCGGCCACACUGGGACUGAGACACGGCCCAGACUCCUACGGGAGGCAGCAGUAGGGAAUCUUCCGCAAUGGACGAAAGUCUGACGGAGCAACGCCGCGUGAGUGAGGAAGGCCUUCGGGUCGUAAAGCUCUGUUGUGAGGGAAGAAGCGGUACCGUUCGAAUAGGGCGGUACCUUGACGGUACCUCACCAGAAAGCCACGGCUAACUACGUGCCAGCAGCCGCGGUAAUACGUAGGUGGCAAGCGUUGUCCGGAAUUAUUGGGCGUAAAGCGCGCGCAGGCGGCUUCUUAAGUCUGAUGUGAAAUCUCGGGGCUCAACCCCGAGCGGCCAUUGGAAACUGGGGAGCUUGAGUGCAGAAGAGGAGAGUGGAAUUCCACGUGUAGCGGUGAAAUGCGUAGAGAUGUGGAGGAACACCAGUGGCGAAGGCGACUCUCUGGUCUGUAACUGACGCUGAGGCGCGAAAGCGUGGGGAGCAAACAGGAUUAGAUACCCUGGUAGUCCACGCCGUAAACGAUGAGUGCUAGGUGUUAGGGGUUUCGAUGCCCGUAGUGCCGAAGUAACACAUAAGC